rnacentral:lncRNA from 1 species
AAAAUUAUUGAUGCUAGAAUGGGUAUCUUAACAAGAUCUACAAGCCCACAAUCACCAUUUCUCAAACUAAACUAGCCACUAAGAGAAGAAAACCUCUUUUCUGUCUAAGAGAAAGAAAACUCUAAAAAUCCCAGGAUUUCACAGACAGCACCAGGAAUUGCAUGGCUGGGUAAACUCAUCCCACUCCAUCACCCGAGCACAGAUCCCCUAAGAAUUUCCCAAGCUAAAACCAAGAAAAACUAAGAAAAAUCUGGGGAGGACUGGCUAGG